rnacentral:rRNA from 1 species
CGAGAGGCCCAACCGUUAUUCGGAUUUACUGGGCUUAAAGAGUUCGUAGGCGGCUUGGAAAGGGGGGUGUGAAAGCCCUCGGCUCAACCGAGGAAGUGCAUUCGAAACUACUGAGCUUGAAUACUGGAGAGGAUCGCGGAAUUCCCGGUGUAGAGGUGAAAUUCGUAGAUAUCGGGAGGAACACCAGUGGCGAAGGCGGCGAUCUGGACAGAUAUUGACGCUGAGGUGCGAAAGCGUGGGGAGCAAACAGG